AGUUCGGUACGCAUUCGCAGCUCCUUAUCUGUUUUUCUGCCAACCGAAUACGGAGCUGCUGCGAAUUAGUAGCCGCCUUCAUCCUCGUCCUGGCCGGGGUGUACUACGUGUUAUGUUACAGUGCUACCUACACACACUUUGACACAGCUGCCACAUUCGAUAGCUCAAGUGAAUAAGAAAGCCCUGCUCUGCCUCUUAAAUUCUUAUUUAAUAUCUGCAACUAAACGAUAUGCGAACAGCCCUACACCUGCAGAAAUUAUGUGCGCGGCAUUAAAGUGCUGGCUUAUCGUGCAUACUUCCUCUUCCCGGUGUCUUUAUAUUUUUUGGUAUUGAUAUGCUGAGUAAACUCUCUACUUCCUUCGCAAUUUGUGCCGUAUCAGUUUAUUAUUUUCGGAACCAACAACAUUUUUUUUUCAAGAAUUUCAAGUCUCUUAAAUUCUACGACGAAUUAAGCUCGUUGGUAAAGCAGAACUCCGCGCCUUCGUACCGCGCUUGCGCAGUUCCUCCUAUUGUAACCUUUACGUCAGGCAGACAGACUAUCUAAUUGGUCUGUUAUUUCCCGGUUUUGAAUAUAGUUGACAUGAUUGGUCAUUUGUAAAUCUAAAGCGCGCUAUUACACCAACAUGCAUAGUCGUCGAAAAACGUAGAAACGAGUCGAGACUCGUGUUUAAAAUAUGGGACACAUAAGAAUAAUAAAAAAAAACCACCAAAACAUGACAAUAAAUAUAUGACUGUCGUCUGUUAACCGAAAUAUGAGGACAAGGAAGAAAAGCAAAAAACUGAAGAUCGGAGGCGACGGUUCGAGCGUCUUUAUAGCUGCCUGUGUUUUGCAUAGAGACGCAAGAGGAAGGCGGGACUCGGGAGAGUGCCAUGCGAGGACUUUUGGAUGUGGAAACCACUCGUCACGAGACCAAUGUUCUCUCUCGAGCAGCGGAAGUGACCUGGCGUACCAGUGGCACACAUGCAGCGCACGCAUUUGACUUGCAUUGGGAAUCCGAUGAGUCUGUGAGAUGUUGCAUACUUACGACAGAAGUGUUCAGGCUGGACCACACCGGCGAGCGCACGGCCACGCACUUGUUGGAUGGAAUUUUAC